CGCUUGAAUACAUUAGCAUGGAAUAACGAAAUAGGACGUUUGAUUCUAUUUUGUUGGUUUCUAGGAUCGACGUAAUGAUUAAUAGGGAUAGUUGGGGGCAUUAGUAUUCAAUUGUCAGAGGUGAAAUUCUUGGAUUUAUUUGAAGACUAACUACUGCGAAAGCAUUUGCCAAGGAUGUUUUCAUUAAUCAAGAACGAAAGUUGGGGGCUCGAAGACGAUCAGAUACCGUCCUAGUCUCAACCAUAAACGAUGCCGACCAGGGAUCAGCGGAUGUUGCUUAUAGGACUCCGCUGGCACCUUAUG
rnacentral:rRNA from 1 species